GCGGGAAUAGCUCAGUUGGUAGAGCAUAACCUUGCCACGGUUGGGGUCGCGAGUUCGAGUCUCGUUUCCCGCUCCA
rnacentral:tRNA from 1 species